rnacentral:rRNA from 1 species
ACGCUGGCGGCAGGCCUAAGACAUGCAAGUCGUACGCGAACGACCUUUCGGGGUUAAGUAGAGUGGCGAACGGGUUAGUAACGCGUGGGAACAUACACAGCACAGGGGGAUAACCAUUGGAAACGAUGGCUAAUACCGCAUACGCCCUAUUGGGGAAAGAUUUAUCGGUGUUGGAUUGGCCCGCGUUAGAUUAGCUAGUUGGUGGGGUAAUGGCUCACCAAGGCGACGAUUUAUAGCUGGUUUGAGAGGAUGAUCAGCAACACUGGAACUGAGACACGGUCCAGACUCCUACGGGAGGCAGCAGUCGGGAAUAUUGUGCAAUGGGGGCAACCCUGACACAGCCAUGCCGCGUGAGUGAAGAAGGCCUUAGGGUUGUAAAGCUCUUUCAGAUGUGAGGAUGAUGACGAUAGCAUCAGAAGAAGCUCCGGCUAACUUCGUGCCAGCAGCCGCGGUAA